rnacentral:lncRNA from 1 species
CAUUUUCUUCCCGGCUGUAUGCCGCUAGGGUCUAGCGUGUGGAGCGGUGCCUGGGAGCGUUCUCUUGGCUAGUCUGCAGCUGCGGUGUGCGGCAGCAUCUUCCGGGGCGCGCAGUCCCAGCUGGCCGCGCCUGGAAGCCCUCCAGGCUCAGUGGGCGGGGCCCCACACCGGCGUUCGUUUUAAGGCGAGGAGAACGGGUCUGUGACUACCCUGUGCGGAUUAAUUUUGAAAGUGAUGGUUAAGGGUCCUGGCUUGAGACUCCUGUAUUUAUGUUGUUAAUUUUGAUGGGAGUCCAGCUGGAAGCUGCUCCAGUUAACAAUGAGUUCUCAAGUCUGGAG